CGUCACGUCAUUUGUUACGCAGUACGUCAACAAAGCAUGUGAGAAGAGAGUACUUCUGUUUACAUUCCUGGACCAUGGCAGACAUGAGCAAACACUCAGAAGUUUGGCUUAGCUCUUCUUCACAGCAAAGUGCAACACCUGCAAUACGAGUCCCCAGAGACACCACUCCAGUACAGAAAGUACUUUCACUUUAGCCAUGAAGGGGAAAAUGAGAAGGAGAAAGUGGACAAGAUUUGUGAUUUAAGUGGGAGGAGGAGGAAACGUUGUGCCAUUGUGAGAAAGAUCCAGAAGAACAGUUUUCCUGACAAACACUCAGACAGGAUG